rnacentral:misc_RNA from 1 species
GAUGAAGAACGUAGCGAAAUGCGAUACGUAAUGUGAAUUGCAGAAUUCAGUGAAUCAUCGAGUCUUUGAACGCACAUUGCGCCCCCUGGUAUUCCGGGGGGCAUGCCUGUCCGAGCGUCAUUGCUGCCCUCAAGCACGGCUUGUGUGUUGGGCCUCCGUCCUCCUCCCGGGGGACGGGCCCGAAAGGCAGCGGCGGCACCGCGUCCGGUCCUCGAGCGUAUGGGGCUUCGUCACCCGCUCUUGUAGGCCCGGCCGGCGCUUGCCGACACAUCAAUCUUUUUUCCAGGUUGACCUCGGAUCAGGUAGGGAUACCCGCUGAACUUAAGCAUAUCCAAUAAGCGGAGGA